rnacentral:rRNA from 1 species
UACGUAGGGGGCUAGCGUUGUCCGGAUUUAUUGGGCGUAAAGAGCGUGUAGGCGGUCCGGUAAGUCCGCUGUGAAAGUCGGGGGGCUCAACCCUCGAAUGCCGGUGGAUACUGUCGGGCUAGAGUGCGGAAGAGGCGAGUGGAAUUCCUGGUGUAGCGGUGAAAUGCGCAGAUAUCGGGAGGAACACCGGUGGCGAAGGCGGUUCUCUGGGCCUGACCUGACGCUGAGGAGCGAAAGCGUGGGGAGCGAACAGG